rnacentral:rRNA from 2 species
UAGCGAAAGACGGGUGAGAAUCCCGUCCACCGAUUGACUAAGGUUUCCAGAGGAAGGCUCGUCCGCUCUGGGUUAGUCGGGUCCUAAGCUGAGGCUGACAGGCGUAGGCGAUGGAUAACAGGUUGAUAUUCCUGUACCACCUAUAAUCGUUUUAAUCGAUGGGGGGACGCAGUAGGAUAGGCGAAGCGUGCGAUUGGAUUGCACGUCUAAGCAGUAAGGCUGAGUAUUAGGCAAAUCCGGUACUCGUUAAGGCUGAGCUGUGAUGGGGAGAAGACAUUGUGUCUUCGAGUCGUUGAUUUCACACUGCCGAGAAAAGCCUCUAGAUAGAAAAUAGGUGCCCGUACCGCAAACCGACACAGGUAGUCAAGAUGAGAAUUCUAAGGUGAGCGAGCGAACUCUCGUUAAGGAACUCGGCAAAAUGACCCCGUAACUUCGGGAGAAGGGGUGCUCUUUAGGGUUAACGCCCAGAAGAGCCGCAGUGAAUAGGCCCAAGCGACUGUUUAUCAAAAACACAGGUCUCUGCUAAACCGUAAGGUGAUGUAUAGGGGCUGACGCCUGCCCGGUGCUGGAAGGUUAAGAGGAGUGGUUAGCUUCUGCGAAGCUACGAAUCGAAGCCCCAGUAAACGGCGGCCGUAACUAUAACGGUCCUAAGGUAGCGAAAUUCCUUGUCGGGUAAGUUCCGACCCGCACGAAAGGCGUAACGAUUUGGGCACUGUCUCAACGAGAGACUCGGUGAAAUCAUAGUACCUGUGAAGAUGCAGGUUACCCGCGACAGGACGGAAAGACCCCGUGGAGCUUUACUGUAGCCUGAUAUUGAAAUUCGGCACAGCUUGUACAGGAUAGGUAGGAGCCUUUGAAACGUGAGCGCUAGCUUACGUGGAGGCGCUGGUGGGAUACUACCCUAGCUGUGUUGGCUUUCUAACCCGCACCACUUAUCGUGGUGGGAGACAGUGUCAGGCGGGCAGUUUGACUGGGGCGGUCGCCUCCUAAAAGGUAACGGAGGCGCUCAAAGGUUCCCUCAGAAUGGUUGGAAAUCAUUCAUAGAGUGUAAAGGCAUAAGGGAGCUUGACUGCGAGACCUACAAGUCGAGCAGGGUCGAAAGACGGACUUAGUGAUCCGGUGGUUCCGCAUGGAAGGGCCAUCGCUCAACGGAUAAAAGCUACCCCGGGGAUAACAGGCUUAUCUCCCCCAAGAGUUCACAUCGACGGGGAGGUUUGGCACCUCGAUGUCGGCUCAUCGCAUCCUGGGGCUGUAGUCGGUCCCAAGGGUUGGGCUGUUCGCCCAUUAAAGCGGUACGCGAGCUGGGUUCAGAACGUCGUGAGACAGUUCGGUCCCUAUCCGUCGUGGGCGUAGGAAAUUUGAGAGGAGCUGUCCUUAGUACGAGAGGACCGGGAUGGACAUACCUCUGGUGUACCAGUUGUCGUGCCAACGGCAUAGCUGGGUAGCUAUGUGUGGACGGGAUAAGUGCUGAAAGCAUCUAAGCAUGAAGCCCCCCUCAAGAUGAGAUUUCCCAACUUCGGUUAUAAGAUCCCUCAAAGAUGAUGAGGUUAAUAGGUUCGAGGUGGAAGCAUGGUGACAUGUGGAGCUGACGAAUACUAAUCGAUCGAAGACUUAAUCAA